rnacentral:lncRNA from 1 species
UUUUUUUUUUUUUUUUUUUUUUUUUGUGUUUUCCAGCCAAAUGCUUCAUGUGCCAUGGGGGUUUCCGAUGAGAGCAAGAACACUUUCAUGGAGCUCCAGAGGAAGAAAGUUCACCGCUAUGUGAUAUUCAAGGUUGAUGAGAAGAAGAGGGAGGUUGUAGUUGAAAAAAUUGGCGGUCCGGCGGAGAGCUAUGAUGAUUUUGUGGCAGCUUUGCCGGAUAAUGAUUGUCGAUAUGCCGUAUAUGACUUUGAUUUCGUAACUUCUGAGAACUGUCAAAAGAGCAAGAUCUUCUUCAUCGCAUGGUUAGUUUUUGCCCUUAAUCUCUUCACCAUAUGAUUUAUGUAUAGACUAUCGAGUCACUAUUAGUCCCGUUAAACGAUCAUUCUCAAAUCCAGACGCAGAUUAUGUUAGUUGGCCAGAUCAUUGUGUUUCUUCCUGGCACCCAAGUUCGAAAUCCCGCUCCCCAUAGAUUAGACUAGUCUAGUACAAUGGAGGAACAAUAUCACAAAUUCUGAUCCAAUUCCAAAGCUGCAAUUUUCAAAUACCUGCAGUUAUUUGCAAAUCCAUGAUUUUUUUAUAUAAAUCAUACAUAAAUUUGCAUUUGCACCCUUGAUUUUGUAUCCAGUGAUGAUCCUUUCAUACAAAAUCAGUGGUGCAGAAUACUAUUGGUUCAAAUUUUAGGCCUAAAAAACCAAAACUUGCGUGAGCUUGGAAAUCCAAAUACUUGUUCUAUCUUGUGCUAAUUCAUGAUUAUUUAUAUACUAAUGCUCAGGUCCCCUUCAACCUCUCGAAUCCGUGCGAAGAUGCUCUAUGCCACAUCUAAAAACAGGUUUAGGAGGGAGCUGGACGGUAUCCACUACGAGAUUCAGGCUACUGACCCAACAGAGAUGGAUCUUGAGGUGCUCAAAGACCGCGCCCAUUGAACCGUCUCUGCAGUACUAAAACACAUGUUCCUCAGUCAAUCAAAGUCUCUAGGGUUCUGCAAGUUUGUUCUGCUGGCUUCACCAUGUAUAGAACCCGUUACCAGCACAAAACUGCAUUACUGUUCCUCGAAUAAACUGGCAGGUGAGUUAGCUGGUACGAAAAGUAUGGUUUGAUGUUAUCUUCUUGCUUCAAACUUUAAUUACCUUUAGGUGAUGUAAACCCCGAGAAUUGUUGCUCUAUACAUUUGGUUUCGUAUGGAUUUAUGUUUGCGGAGCAAGAAAUGCACAACCAGUCAUUGAUUUAUUGGUCUUGAACAAAUUCAUAACCCGAAAUAUAUGCUUAAUAGUCAAUGUAGUCGGAAAGAUAAGCGAAGAUCAACCAUGAACUUUAAUACAAAAACAACUACAAAAAUACAGAAAAGAGUAUGCGGUUUCUACUUUAAUGUAAUACAUAAUGAUAUAGAGACCGAAACAGAGAAAAAUGAAAACUUAUCCUAAAAAAUUGCUCCAUUUGUAGAUGAACAAUAGAAACUCCCUUCUAGUCUAUGUGAUCUAGGGCUGCUUUCGAUCUCUUACUUCCUUAGUUGUGUUCGUUGCUUUCGCCAGACAGUUCCUCCAAAGAUUUUCCUUUCGAUUCAGGUACAAAGAACGUAAAUAAUAAACCCAAAAAGUUGAUCACACCCAACAUAAUAAGUGAGUUCUUGACCCCUAUACCAGCAGGAAACCCUGCUUCUGCCUUAGCCUUGUCCUGCGGUUGCGCCAAGAACAAGAAUCCGAAUGCACCCACCAUUGCCCCUAACUUUCCGGCUGCUGCAGAUAUGCCAUGGCAAGUUGACCGCAGUCUAGCCGGGAAAAUUUCAGCUGGCACCACAAAUGUAGUAGCAUUAGGUCCGAAAUUUGCAAAGAAGAAAGUCAGUGAGUAGAAUACCACAAACCCUAUCAAGUGAUGUGUCCAAUAAUCGUAGAGAAAUGCCAAUACAAACAUGAACACUGUCAUGAAGAAGAAUCCCAUCAUUUGGAUUGUGAAUCUUCCGAUUUUAUCAAUGAAGGCUACAGUGAACCAGUAUCCGGGUACAGUACUGCAUAGGGCGAUAAGCGUUUGUGCCCUUGCAAUUCUAUAAACCUCUGAAACGGCAUUCAAAGUUUUAGCAUUAGGAAUCCAUCCAAUGGCGCUGAAAAUGUCUUUCUGAAACAGAUUUUGGCUAUAAAAUGCAAUGUCAAGCAAGAACCAUGUGCUUGUGGUUCCAAGCAAGUGGAGUCCAUGGCGGUGCAUAAACUCCUUAGAGAAUAAACCGAAAGAUUUCACAGUUUCCUUAGGCAACCUGACGGGUUCAGGUUCUAUGUCAACCUGCAAUACUUUUCCCAUAUCAGCAUUAGCCUGGUUGACAUCUUUCGCAACAAGCGCUGUGUAACGGGCAGUUUCUGGCAUCUUUGAGCGCGAGUAGUAGGUUAGAGCUGCCGGAAGUGCUCCAACCAUUAGAAUGAUUCUCCAAAGGUAGUCUGCUUGUGGGACAGUUGAACCAACUGGAUCAACUUCAUAAGAUGGAGCCUUGAAUUUGGCCUCAAAAAUCGCAGAGAUGAGCAUUGCAAACAACCCUCCUGCUAGAAUUCCAAACCCCUGCAUGGCAAACACCGCGGCAACAAAGGCACCACGAGUCUUUUUAUUUGCGUAUUCAGACAUUAUGGUGGCGGAAAGAGGGUAGUCACCACCAAUGCCGAACCCUAGCCAGAACCGAAAGAAACAAAGCGUGGUCAUUACAGACUUCGCGGUGUGCCCAAAGGAGAGCGCGGAACCAAUGGAGCAUAUGAUCAUGAGCAUAAGUGUCAUGCCAUACACUUUUUUUCUCCCCAUUUUGUCACCAAGCCAGCCGAAGACCACUUGCCCUGCCAAUGUGCCAACAAGCGCCACGCCAUUGACAGCUGCUGACACAUUUGGAGGCAAUGUGCCUGGUUUUGGUGAUCCUUCAACGUGGUAAUAUAUGCGGCCAAGCAAUUUGGUGACGAGGGAUAUGCAGAAGAGAUCGUAUGCGUCGGUGAAGAAUCCCAUUCCGGCGAUUACGAUUGUGGUGAAAUGGUACCAUUGUGUUUUUGCAGUGUCAAGUGCACUGAGCACAUGCAGUUGUUCCUUGGCCAUGGAUUUAGCCUUGCUUGGUUUGAUCUCUCUCUUGCAAACUCUAUUUCUCUGGUUCAUCAAUAUGCAAGAACACAAACGGUAAGAUUACAUUUCCAUAACACUGUAUGAAUAAAGAAUGAUUUAAAUGUGAAUUUGAUUGAUAUAAACACAGAAGAUUAAAACACAAGAGUUUCACAUUUCUUGAAGAAACUUAAAAUAAGUCGGAAAAAUUCACAUAAAGAGGAUAUAACUAAUUGUUCCCGGAAACUAUACGUGCAAGACGUUCAUUCUUUAGUAAACAACGGAUGUGCAUUGAUACUGCUGAAAAUCCGUCAACAUGUUUGUACGUUUUGUUACAGACAAUGAUAUUGACAUAUUAUCAAUGACAUAUCAACACUCUGUUGAUUAAUAAAGAACAUGCAUCAGUUCCAUAGCCAGACAAAUAAUUCUUCAUAUAUAAUUGAAAGAUUGCAUUGUAAAACAUAGGAUGAGACCAAAAUAAUUCCUAGAAUUAAUUUAUAAAAAUUCAACAAUGGUAAAUAAAAUAUGAAAAACAUGCAGCUUCAUCAAGAAGAAACAAGAACAUGCAUGCAUAGAGUUUUUUUCCUAACCUGGAUCUUCUCUCUCAACCUAGAGAGAGAGAGAGAGAGAGAGAGAGAAACUCCGACUCCAACUCCGACUCCGAGAGAUCUAGAGAGAGGGGUAGGUAAUAGGUUAUGCUCUAGGGGAAGCAGGGAAUGAGAAUUUAUAAGGGAAGGGCGCGUCGCCGAGCAACCGGAAUAUUACAAUGGCAUAUUCUUCCCCUCCAUUUUAGCUAGCUGUUGUUUCUCUGCAGACCCUUCUGUUCAACAAACUCAAGACAUCUUUCAGCGGUAUAUUCCGAAUGUCCGAGAAUUUCUAGUAGAAACCAGUAGUAGCCAAAACCGAAAACAGUUCCAUAUACGUUACCAGAACGCGUAUUUCCACAGUUGUCCAAUUUCUAUAUUUAGUUUUCAAAUUUGAGGUUGAAAUUUUUGACAUAAAUGGUACGUAAUAUAUACUUUGGUGAAGGAAUUAAAUUCCAUAUAAUCUGAGGGGAUGGAAUAUAUGUCCUAACUGCUAUGCUAGCUAGCUGGAGGAUCGUAAAAGAUUUCAUUACAAGAUUCAUUUCUGAUUUGGGGGGAGAUUUUCAGGUAAAAGUAAUCAAUAAUUUCUCAAUGAUUUGGAGACCAAAAGCAAAGAAAUUAUAGAAUGAUGGUAGAAAUAAAUGGAUUAAUGGAACAGUGUGCCGAGUGUACGAAUGUACGAACACCCUCUAUAUUAAUUUGGAAAGUAAAAAAGUUCCAAGUUUUUGAAUCCUCAAUCACGUUGAGAAGAAAAAAUGUACAUGACACAUGUUCUAUUUGACUCCUUUUAAGUGUUACAAAUAUAAGAUUUCUAUUAAAUAUAAGGAAUAUAAUAUUAAAUUUUCUCCUCGUAAUCGUAUUGUCGAGAUUUCCUUAGAAAAAAUAAAGAAAAAUAAUAUCAAUGAAACCUGAGUGGCAGGAGUUCUUGAGUGUGAAUGAUUGUGCAUAUUAUACGUUUAUCUCUAUUAUUACGUGACUACGACUACGAUCUGAUACGGGACAUACUCUGAACAGUGAGUGGACUAGCCACUCUGCCUUAAGAGAAAAUACGCAAAUCUACCUAACCCCCCAAAACAAAUUCGACUUUCACAUUGAGAAACAGAAAACAGUUGAUGAUUCACUUCUACUUUAUAUACUCAAUACCAUUUAGUCACAGCUGCGGAGAGAAACAUGGGUACCCUAGUUUUGAUCAUACACGCGACACCGUAGAUGACAGUUUGAAACACAAGACCUCAGGUUCAAAGAUAAACGCUGACGCUUUACGUACACACAUGUUAUACAUGGAAAAUGCACACUUUAUCUGGCAUCCUUUGUAAAAGCCAGGACAUAGACUCAUGGAAUACCACAAAGGAUGAAAUACCCCUCCCCAAAAUGAACUACAGGCUUACAUUACAACAUUAUUUUCUGCACUGCUUAUAGAUCCAACCUACACAACUGGAACUGUCCUGUUGUUAUAGUUUGAUUGCUCCAACUCCACUGUCCCGGUUUCGCUUUCUUCUUCGUUCUCACCCGACAUCUCCUCCAACGACCUCCCAUUCGAUUCAGGCACCAAGAAAGUGAACAAUAUCCCCAAGAAGUUGACCACACCCAACACAAGGAGCGAGUUUUUAACCCCGAUGCCUGGAGGGUACCCUGCAUCUGUCUUGUUCUUAUCUUUGUUCUGAGCCAAGUACAAGAACCCGAAUACACCAACUAUGGCGCCAAGCUUCCCGGACGCAGCUGAGAUUCCAUGACACGUAGACCGGAACCUAGCUGGGAAAAUCUCAGCCGGCACAACAAAUGUGGUUGCAUUAGGACCGAAGUUCGCAAAAAAGAAGGUCAAUGCGUAGAUCACUACGAACCCAAUUCGGUUGUCCUUGUGAGUCCAGUGAUCGUAGGGAAUAGCCAGUGCAAACAUGAACACUGUCAUGAAGAAGAAUCCCAUCAAUUGAAUUGCAAAUCUUCCAAUCCUGUCAAUGAAAGCUACCGUAAACCAGUAGCCAGGGACAGUACUGCACAAUGCAAUAAGAGUUUGGGCCCUUGCGAUUCUGUAGACUUCUUCAAUAGCAUUCAUCGUCUCUGCAGGAGGAAUCCAUCCGAUCGCACUGAAAAUAUCCUUUUGGAACAGAUUUUGGCUGUAGAAUGCAAUGUCAAGUAAGAACCAAGUGCUUGUUGUUCCAAGCAAGUGAAGUCCAUGACGGUGCAUAAACUCCUUGGAGAACAUAGCAAAUGCAUUAGCAGUCGGCUCAGCCCUCUGGGGUUCUGCUUCAAUUUCUACCUGCAGAACCUUUGACAUGUCGGAUGCAGCCUGUCUCGCAUUCUUUGCAACGAGGGCGGUGUAACGGGCAGUUUCAGGCAUCUUCAUGCGCCAGUAGUAAGUCAUUGCAGCUGGGAUUGCUCCUACUAUCACAAUAAUCCUCCACAGAUAGUCCGCUUGUGGAACGGUUGAGGCAAGUGCAUUGACCUUAUAUGUUGGAGCAUCAAAAUUGGCAUUAAACGCGGCCGAACAGAUAAUAGCAAAUAUCCCACCAGCUAAAAUUCCAAACCCCUGCAUGGCAAAGACCGCGGCAAUGAAAGCUCCCCGAGUCUUCUUGUUAGCAUACUCAGACAUGAUUGUGGCAGAAAGAGGGUAGUCACCGCCAGUGGCGGAUCCACAGUGGGGUCGUCGGGGUCGCACGACCCCUUGGAAACCAUGGAAACAACCUUGAAGCUCCCAUAUGCGACCUCUUGGAGCUGGGGUCGUCGGAGUCGGAGGCACGCCAACUGUUCGACAAAAGCCCUGAACGAAAACUGGGCAGGAAGAGGAAGAAGAAGCAGCCCAGUCAAAUGAGCUUGGUUGUGUGCUUGGUUGCAUGCCUGUUUUUGUCAAGUGAAUGAUAUUUAUACAUGCUACUUUUUAUAACUCUAUCCAGUUUAAUUGGUCUUUCUGAUAAAGAAAUGAUAGGGGUUGGAGGAGUGCUAUAUGAGAACGAGAACAUUAAGAAGAUACGGAAAUUAAUUUGAAACAUCAAGCUGUCAGGGAAAGCAAAAAUUUGGAUACGCCAGUAACAAGACAAUAAAAGAGGAAGUUUAAGUGAAACUUACUUGCAUGAAUCCACAUAAACGAAUUAUGAUGUGAUUUAUGCCAGAAUCUUGGGUCAGUCCCUAUACUUUAUUAUUGUUCCAUGCACAGAUUAAUUCGACACUGCACCAAACGCCCGACUAAUGGAGUUAGUACUAUCCGACGACUAUUUAUUUUAUCCGACUGAAAUAGUCAAUACAGUCCGAAGUACCAAACGAGGCUAAAAAAAAUUUCGCGCUGCGCGCGCUAUGACCCCAUAAACAUUUUUUCCUGGAUCCGCCACUGGUCACCGCCAAUACCAAACCCUAGCCAGAACCGGAAGAAACAAAGCGUUGACAUAACGGUUUUUGGGUUAUGCUCAUAUGAGAGACCUGAAGCAAUAGAACAUAUGACCAUAAGCAUAAGAGUCAUUCCAUAAACUCUCUUCCUUCCCAUCUUGUCACCAAGCCAGCCAAAGAAGCGCUGGCCUGCUAAGGUUCCACAAAGCGCCACACCAUUUACGGCGGCUGACACAUUCGGAGGCAAUGUCCCGGGCUUCUCUGCGCCUUCAACGUGGUAGUAUAUGCGGCCGAGCAACUUGGUCACCAUAGAAAUGCAGAAGAGAUCAUAUGCAUCUGUGAAGAAUCCCAUUCCAGCAAUGAUAAUUGCAGUGAAAUGGUACCAUUGUGUUUUUGCUACAUCAAGUGCAUUGAGAACCUGUAAUUGCUCAUUAGCCAUGGCUAAGCUAGCUUUUACAAAUUCUCUCUCUCUUCUCUUUCUUUCUCACCAGCUUUUUUUUUUAUCUGCACAAUUUGAAGAGUGAGAAAAUGAAAAAAAUAUUUAUCGUGCGGAAGCGGCAAGUACAACGUAAAAUAUUCGAACAAUAAUAUAGCAACACAACAUUAACAGUUGGUCAUACGUUGAAAAUUAAAUUUUGCCUCACCUAGAAUUCCAGGUUCAACCAAUUCACUUUAUAAUUUCUGACUUUUCAAAAUUUUUUGUCACUAAUUUAUCACAUCACAACAUUAACUAGAGAAAAAGAAUUCUUAUAAAGGAUACUAUAAUGAAAUGCUAUGGAGACUUUUUCAAAAAUAGGAUUCUUCAUGUACUAUCUUUCCUUUUAUGUUUUUGGCAUAAAACUUUAUAUGUUGUUACAAAAAUUGAUGUUAAAUUGAAAAGUGACAAAAAAUUCAUGAAGAGUUAACACUUUAAGAGAGUUUUUUUAAGUAUUUCUCUAACUAAUUACACAGUCCAAAGAAAUUUUAUUUGCCACCCCCCAAAAAAAGGGACCAUUUUAUUUGAGCAUGAAAAAGUGAAAUGAUCUUCUGAAACUAGCAAAACUUCCAUGACUACUGGAAAAGUGGAGGAAAAGACAAAUAAUGAACUCUGCCUCAUUCUACCACUGAAGAGGUUUUUGUUUUUUUGGCCAGAUUUCUAAGUGAGAAAAGCUCUGGUGGGCAUUUGGACAACGUCGCCUGUCGUACUUUGCUUUCAAUUUCAUAUUAAUUUCACUCGGCGCGAGAGUUGUCGUACACAAAUUUUUGAAGCUUGAACUAGGAAAAUCACGUUCAAACUGCCCCACACAAGGGACAAGGAUUGUCUACUCUCCAUUUUCGGUGUCCUUUCUGUGCCCUCUUGUUUGUGUGGUCACGGUUAAGCUACAUCAACAUUUUAUAUUACUAUUCAUUUUUGUCUUAUUAUAACUAUAAAAAUAAUAUAAAAUGUUAACGUGACUUAACCGUGACCAUACAAAACAGGAGGGCACGAAAAGAGCAACGGAAGUGGAGAGCAGACAAUCCUUGUCCCUACGCAAGUAGACAAACACAUAACCUACUGAGGAUUUAAUAGAAGUCUCAAAGUAUCUACCAAACCAUUUAAAACCCCACUCACUUCACACUUUACACUUUACACUAUGCACUUUGAGCUUGCAACUUGCAUGCAUGGAGAGAUCAGCGGACUUAAUUACAAGAUCAACAACAAUGGAAGCAAAAAUUAAGCAUAAACAAAGAUGUUUAAUAUCUAAUUAGAUAAAUUAAUUGAUUUAAUUUGCAGACUAACCUGUUGGGAGCGAGCGAGAGGGAGAUGAAGAAAUUUGACGGUGAGACAAGGAAAAUGAAGGGAUGCGAAUAUUUAUAGGCAACGGCAGCAGCCUCACACGAAGGAAUUUCCACCGGCAUUUUCCAUUUUCUCCCCCGCGUCCGUUUUUAUUUUUUCAGUCAACCGUCGCACCAUGUUUCAAGUCUCACCUUGCCCACCUUCCCCGUCUUGCUCGACGAUUUCGACACGUGGUCCCACUCUCUUUAUUUAUUUACUUCCUUUAUUCUUUCAUGAGCUGAACACAUUGAGAUAUUGGCUACCAGUGCAAGUUGUUUUUAAAUCGAUUUACAGUCUUAGUUGCAUGCAAAUUGCCCCUCCUAAAAUUGUUAUCCAACAAGAAGUCACACUCUGUGACUAAAAUAGAAUAGUCUACGACUCAAAGCGUAUGGAAUGAAUCGGUUGUUAAGACUUUUGAACGUUCCAUUGUCAUUUUCAUGAGCCCCCCUAAGAAGGAAUAAAUUGGAAGACUCUUUUUAAUACUAUUUUUCACUCUUAAUAUUUUUUAUCGUAUCCAUUUUAUUUGUGUUCAUUUAAUCUAGCAGAGUGUUUUUGUUAUUGAAAUAACAUAAAUAAAUAUUAUGAAAAUAGUAAGGUCCGAGAAAUUUUACUACUGGUAGAUUGUCAUGAUGGUUAAAUACAUUAUUUUUUAAAUGUGUCAAAGUUAAUAUCUUUUGCCUUUUUCAAUUUACUUUUUAGUAGUAUUCAUUUUUACUUGUAAGUGAGAUGCCUUUGAUUCGAAUAUCGUAAAUAACAAGUUUAAUACCAAUUUAUUUUCUUGCUACUUAAUGAAAAUAUAUCAUUCUGUAAGAUAAUAAAGUAGGAAAAUUAUUUGUAAUACAUGAAUAUAAAAAUAAAAGGGUCAAAAAAAAAAAUUUAGUAAGUGAUACGGUUGUGGGGAAGUUUCUGAUCACAUACUAGGAAUCAAAUAUUGGUCCCAAUUAGUGCGAAAUCUUUGAAUUCUUUUACUAAUACAGUCCAAAUUUCAACAUCUCCCUUGUUUGAGAGAAAACGGCAAACCUUUACCUUGAAGGCUUGAACGUUUUGAAAGGUUCUACUUUUUGGGGUGUGCCAGUUAUCAAUCAUAGUCCUCAUCCUAGAUGUCAAGAUUUUGAACCAAAAAAAAAAAAAAAAAAAAGGGAAAGAAUCCUAGAUGUUAAGAUUAAGAUGUUUGUGGUCAUGGACACUAUUGUUUUUUUUUUUUCUUUUUUGGUAGCAAAAAUAUGAUGAAGUGAUUUUUUUUUUCAAAAAGUAAUCCGCGUAUAUUUUUGCUCCUGUAUAAUUUUCAUUUUCAAUCUUGGUGAAUUUGUAUCUAUAAAACAAUUAAACACAUUUAAUCAAAGAUCAAAAUCAUGCACCAAUGGAGUGGAGGGGAGGGGUUUGGCUAAGGUUAUUUCCAACUGAAGGGUCCAGAGGACCAGAUGGUCGAAAAUAGCCUGAAAUCGUCUCCAACCGAGGGCUAGGUCAGAGGGCUCGUGGAAUCUGAGAGGGCCCCAUAGAAUCUGAAAGGGCCAAAGGGUUGGAGGGCUGGCUGCAUGCCUGAGGCUAGCCAGAAAAAACAUUAAUUCUGUCGGUUAUAACCAAUAGGAAUGCUUAAGUUAAAAUUCAAAUGCAACGGCUAUUUGACGUCAGCUAGUCGUUGCCGUUGCCUUUGAUUUUUUAUUUUUUAUUUUUAUAGUUUUAUUAUUUUUUUUAUUUAGAAAAUUUUUCCUAUAACUUCUAUUUUUCAUUUUUUUAAUUUUAUUUUUUUCCUAUAACUUUUAUUUUAUGAAAAAUUUCAGUUUUUCCUAUAACUUCUAUUUCACAAAAUUUGUUUCAUUUUAUUUUAAAUUCUAUUUUUUUUUUCUAUAACUUCUAUUUCACAAAAUUUGUUUCAUAUAUUUUUUUAAAUUAUAUUUUCUUUUCCUAUAACUUCUAUUUCACAAAAUUUGUUUCAUAUUUUUUUUUAAAUUAUAUAUUUUUUCCUUUAACUUCCUAAGCCAUUAUAAAACAUUAAAUUAAAUUAAGUAACAUGAACCAACAUUAAACAAUAUAAAACAACAUUAAAUAACAUUAACCAACAUACAAAUUAUACAACAUAAAAAAAACAUUUAACAACAUGAAACUUAAACAACAUUUUUAAAAACAUUUAACAACAUAAAACUUAAACGCCUACUCCAUGCUUCUUUUGGCCUAAAGAUGUGCAAUAAGAUCUUGUUGUAGGUACUUGUUUGUGGCAUGAGAACGUAUCAUUCUAUAGCUCCUGAUGUACUCAUUUAUAGAGAUACUACCAGCUCUUGGAUUGAAAGGCAAAUUAAGCCCAUCAUAUAUUUUUGCACAAGCCCUUCUUGACCUAUUUGGAUAUUCUUGGUCGUUAUCAGACUCUCCGUCAAUAUACCCAUCUCGCUUAUCCUUCACUAUCAUAUUGUGUAAUAUGAUGCAAGACAUCAUGAUGGAGUCCAAAUUUUCUCGACUCCAUCCUCUUGUCGAUUUGUUGAUGAUCUUCCACCGUGCUUGUAGAAUACCGAAAGCUCUCUCAACAUCUUUCCGGUAUGCCUCUUGGUGACUUUUCUAUGUCAUUCCUAGGGUUUGGAAUUGCUUGGACAAGUGUUGCCCACUUUGGGUAGAUGUCAUCUGCCAAGUAAUACCCCAUAUUGUAUUGACGGCUGUUGAUAUAGUAGUCAAAUUGAGGUGCUUUACCUUCCGUCAAGUUAUUGAAGAUGGGGUGAACUCCCAAGAAUUGUAAUGUCAUUUUGGGAUCCAAGGACUUCAAAGAAAACAUGCUAGAUCCAUGUGUCAUAUGAGGCAACCGCCUCUAACACAAAAGUUGGCUUUCUCGACCUUCCGCUAAAACCUCAUUGCCAUUUGGUGGGACAGUUCUUCCAAUCCCAAUGCAUGCAGUUUAAUGACCUAUCAUGCCCUGAAACCUACGGUCUUCAACUUUGUGAAUGAGCCGAUUUAGAUCUUCUAGAUUUGGCUCGCGGAGUUACUCGUCUUUGUAAACUUGAACAAUUGUGUCACAAAAUCAUUCAAAAGUAUCACGGCAUGUAGACUUAGACAUACCAUGGGUUUCAUCCAUUGAAUCAACUGGGGAGCCAUAGGCCAUCAUUCAGAGUGCAACAAUAAACGCUCGAAGACAUGAUGCCUCAUCCGGAAGCGAUGUCUGAAAUCCUCUUCUGUGUACACCGAGUUGGGGUUGAAGUAGUUGUUCAUCAGAUUAGCAUCCGCUUUUUGUGGUUUGUAAGAGCGACCAGCAACAAAGCCACCCUAUUAAGGUUGUUCCUCAUUUGGUUGACACACCAUGGCUGCUGCUCUGUUUUGUUUGUUGUGCCUUACUUGUACUUCUUCAUCAGACUCCUCAUGUUCUCGUCUCAUUUGCGCCCAUUUUGCUUCCAAUUUGGAAUUGAAUGAGGAACCUCAAUUGGAAUCCGAAGAGGAUCCAAAGUUGGAAUUCAUUGCAAACUUGAAUUGAAAAAGAUUGAAUUCAAAGUUGUGUGAAUUAUAGCUCAAUAUCCACCCUAUUUAUAGCAAAAAAAAUUCAAAUCCAAUGGCUAGCUGACGUCAGCAUGAUGUCAGUUACCAACGGCUAGCUGGCCGUUGGAUUUGAAUUUAAGUUGUAGUUUUUAAAUAAUAAAUUAUGUUUGGCCCUAUGGCCUUUUGGCCCUCGGUUGGAGACAAUUUUUUGUGACAGGGCUAAAACGAGCCUUAUGGCCCUUUGGCUCUCAGUUGGAGACGGAGGCAAAUAUGGCCCUGUACUGUUCAUUAAAAUAUUAAUAUCUUGGAAGGCCAGAUGGCUAAAACGAGCCAUUUGGCUAGCCCUCGGUUAGAGAUGCCCUAAUUUACAAUGCCUAAGUGAAUUUCUUUGAAAAAAAAAUGUUUAAGGCUUAGUUGCAUAGCAAAAUCUUACCAUAAAUUGGUUUAGGACGGGGUACUUAUAGGAGCUAGAGUCGGUCCCAUGUGUAGGGUUUUUCAUGCCAUGUGUCAAUAUUUAGUUGGCCAAGUUGUGUCAUUCGUAGGACGGAGAAGAAAAUUAUCCUAAAGAUAUUAUUUAAUUAAUAAUAUUAUCUCGUAAAAUCCUUGAUUAGAUUCGGUUGUGAUUCCUUACUUGAUUAAGUUGGUCUUCAAUAAGGAAAGUUUAAAGGUAUGAAUUAGUUAUUAAUCUUAUCUUUAAUUCCUUUAACUUUUCUCCUUGCCAUGAGCAUGAGAGCUUGAAGAAGUUGCGGUCAGCAACUUAAGUCUUCUUAAUGGUUGAACUACGCAUGGAACAAAUGUGAGCCUCGCUAAUUUAAUGAGGGUUUCGUUGUCACUUGUGGGUAAAAGUUCAAGUGUCAGAUCCAAGAUUUUCUAAAUUAUUUUUGGCUCCACAAAUGCCUCACACAUGUUGUGCUGCGUGUAAGAGGUGCAUGAGGUGUAGAAAUCCAAGUCGAUAGGCUUGCUCGAUAGGCUUGCCAGAAACGAGUCCUUGACUACAUAGGAUUGUGAGAUCUAACUUGUAAUGAACGUUUUAUGGGAUAUGGGGUCUAACUACCUAUAAAAUCUAUUUAACUCUACUUAAGUGGAUGAUUAAAUAAACCUAGAGAACAAUUAUUUUCCAAACAAGAAAGAAAAAAAACUGGAGGAAAUUAUGCCUCAUCCCCUAGUUUUCUUCUUUACUUGCCCCGCAAAGGGUUGAUUGUCUUCGUCGUUGUUGUUGCGCCUCAAGGUAAAGAAAAUAAAAUAUUUCUUCUUCUUACUACUGCCACAGGACAGCUUGGGACGAGUGGAAUGAGGCCCAUGUGCGUGACAUGGUAAAAAUGGCUGCUUAAAGAUAUGUGUAGCUCGACUGAAGCCAAGGAAUGGGGUCGCAAGGGUAGCUGGAGCCACUAGCCAACGGCUAGUGUAGGCCAAAUUGCAAGGGGAAAAAGAAGCGGGUCGUUGGGCCCGUGAUGCUUAACCUAGUGUGGCGUGGAAGGUUGGACCCCGAUGGGUUGCGCAAGCAUGGUUGUUGGACUUAACAGGAAUUAGUGGAUAUGGUAUGGUGCUAAGGCGUUAGGCUCAUGUGGCUCGAGAGAUAGAAUGGAGGCGCUAGGCUAGGCGUGGUGCAUUAGGCUUGGCCUGGUACCAUGUGAGGAUGGACCACAAAGUUUAUUUGGAGAAGAGGCUGGCGCAAGUGCAGGAUAGGCCUACCAUUUAAGCUUUACAGCAACUAUUAAGGCUUGAGUGCCAAUAGGUUGCAUGUGGUAGAGAUAACAUCGUAGUUGGAGCCAUUAGAAGGCGUCGAUGUAACUAAGAGCUGUGGUGCGAGAGUCAUUGAGGCUAGAAGCCACAUAGCUGAAUUGGUAUGGCUGGGAGAAAUAAAGCAAUAGUAGACGUUAUGGUGAGUCGCAUAGUAGAAGUAAAUGUAAUUGGGGCAGCAAGCGAGGCGCAUGACUUUAUUGGUAGGUUAGCCUACUUGCUUGAUCUUUAAUUGAGAAGAAACCAAAGACUUCUUUUGUUGCUCGUGAAAGUUCUGCUGCUUGGGGAAAACUUGUUAUCAAGCAGUCUCAUUCAAUGGAUGAAAGAAAACUGAUGAGCCUGUGAAAUAUGUCACUUCGAAAGAGGUUAAAUUCUUGUCCUAGAAGAUCGCUCAACGUAAGAGUUCUUUGCUGCUACUAAAGUCAAGGUCCAAAGAUAGAGUGAAGCGUCCAUCUGUGGCUAAGUCUGGAUCGGCUUUUAAAAGGGUCACCACUAUUCGAAGUGAGGAGGAAAGUUUGUCACUUGAGAAAAUGGAUCAAUCGCUAAAUAGGCAUCAAAGCCUGCUCCUUCUAUUGUUCCGCGUCUGUGAUGCCUGCUAGGAAAGGGGAAUGAUUAUGCAUACUAUAUGUUUAUCUUUAUUAUUACAUGACUACAACUACGAUCUGAUAUAAGACAUACUAUGAACAGUGAAAAUUAACUAGCCACUAUGCCUUAAGAGAAAAUGUGCAAAACUACCUAAACCCUCAAAACAAAUUCAACUUUUACAUUGAGAAACAAAAAACGGUUGAUGAUUCUCUUAUACCUUAUAUACUCAAUACCCUUUAGUCACAGCUGCGGAGAGAAACAUGAGUACCCUAAUUUUGAUAAUACACGCGACACCGCAUAUGACAGUUUCAAACACAAGACCUCAGGUUCAAAGAUAAACCCUGACGCUUUACGUACACACAUGUUAUGCAUGGAAAAUGCACACUUUAUCUGGCAUCAUUUGUAAAAGCCAGGACCAUUUGCCCUGCUAAUCUGCCAACAAGCGUCAUGCCAUUGACAGCUACUGACACAUUUGGAGGCAAUGUGCCUGAUUUUGGUGAUCAUUCAACUGGUAAUAUAUGCGGCCAAGCAAUUUGGUGACAAGGGAAAUGCAGAAGAGAUAGUACGCAUCGGUGAAGAAUCCCAUUCUGGCGAUUACAAUUGCGGUGAAAUGGUACCAUUGUGUUUUUGCAGUGUCAAGUGCACUGAGCACGUGCAGUUGUUCCUUGGCCAUGGAUUUAGCUUUGCUUGGUUUGAUCUCUCUCUUGCAAACUCUAUUUCUCUGGUUCAUCAAUAUGCAAGAACACAACGGUAAGAUUACAUUUACAUAACAAUGUAUGAAUAAAGAAUGAUUUAAAUGUGAAUUUGAUUGAUAUAAACACAGAAUAUUAAAACACAAGAGUUUCACAUUUCUUGAAGAAACUUAAAAUAAGUUGGAAAAAUUCACAUAGAGAUGAUAUAACUAAUUGUUCCCAGAAACCAUACGUGCAAGACGUUCAUUCUUUAGUAAACAAUGGAUAUGCAUCGAUACUGCUGAAAAUCUGUCAACAACAUGUAUGUACAUUUGGUUACAGACAAUGAUAUUAUUGAACUUUUUAGUUUCAACUAUUUGUAUAAUUCAUCAUAAGAAACUAAGUACAAGGGAGAAGCUCUUAUAGAGAGCUUGAGAGUGACUUAAAGGCUAAAAAGACAAAGCCUAAUAAUAGGCCAUAUAAAGAACCAAAAGGAAUAAGCUAGCUAACGUGCAACAAAUGUAUAAUUACAAGUUUCAAGGGAGACAUAAGACCAUGAAUUAAGGAUUCAAAUUAAGGAACAAAGGAAAAGUGGUGGUACAUCACUUCCAUCACGUCAAGUACAUCACUCACUUCCAUCACAUCAAGUACACCACUCACUUCCAUCACGUCAAGUACAUCACUUCCAAUACUCCCCCUCAAGCUGGAUCAAGAGGGUUAAUUGAUCCAAGCUUGCACAACAACCGUUGAAAUUGGGUAGAGUCUAGAGUUUUUGUGAAGAGAUCAGCAAGUUGAUCAUGGCUUCUAGUGUAUACAGUGUUGAUGACAUUGGAUUGAACUUGUGUACGAAUGUAAUGACAAUCAACUUCAAUGUGCUUUAUCAUUUCAUGAAAUACGAGAUUAAAAGCAAUAUGCAUUGCGGCCCGGUUGUCACAAAACAACGACAUUGGUUCUUUGCUGGUGAAGCCAAGAUCAAAUAGAAGACUCUUCAACCAUAUAAGUUCACAAGCUGCUGCUGCUAUAGCCCUAUAUUUAGUUUCAGCACUGGAUCUUGCAACCACAGUUUGUUUCUUACUUUUCUAGGUGACCAGAUUACCUUCAACAAAAGUACAAAAACCUAUGGUGGACUUUCGAUCAAGGGCAUUACCAACUCAAUCAGCAUCAAUGUAGGCCAUGAUGUGAGUGGACCCAUUUUUCUUCAUGAGUAUGCCUCUACUGACCGAACCUUUGAGAUAUCUAAGUAUUCUCUUGACAAUUUCCCAAUGAACCGAUGUAGAAGAGUGCAUAAACUGGCUGACAAGGCUCACUGAGUAAGCAAUGUCAAGUCGAGUAAUCGUGAGGUGUAAAUAAGUUUUCCAACCAUACGCUGAUAAAAACUAGGAUUAGAGAGGCUCACCUUUGGCAUCCAACUGAAGUUUGCUAACAAGGGGAGUGCGAGCAAGUUUACACUCAAGCAUGUGUGCUUCAUCAAGAAAAUCAACUACAUACUUUCUUUGAUUUAAGAAUAACCCUUUGGAAGAAAUGGCCACCUCAAUGCCAAGAAAGUAUUUCAAGACUUCUAAGUCUUUAAUGGCAAAAUGUUAGUGUAGGGAGCACUUAAGAGCAUUGAUUUCCUUCACACUGUCCCCUGUAAUUAUAAGAUCAUCAAUAUAUAUAAGCACAACGAGCUUGCCUAGGACACCAAUGCGAACAAAUAAGGAGGAGUCAGCAUGACUUCUUUUGAACCCUGUAACUUCAAGAACUGAGCUCAGUUUGGAAUACCAAGCUCGAGGGGAUUGUUUGAGUCCAUAUAUAGCCUUAUGGAGCUUGCAAACCUUGUUAAGUUUACCUGCUUGUAAGUGUCCAAGAGGUAGCUUCAUGCAUACAUCUUCUUCAAGAUCACCAUGGAGGAAAACAUUUUUUACAUCCAUUUUGUUGAUGCACAAAAUUGGAGGUCUUGGAACAACGUAAAUCCGACCAUGAAUCUACAAGAAAGUAAAUAACAUAAGAUGUAUCGUGGUUCACCCCCAAUAUUUGGGCUACGUCCACACUAAUAUUGUAUUUCUCUAUUUGUGAGAGGAUUAUGAGGGAGAGAGAGCUUGAGAGCUUUGCUCUGAAUAUGAGAGGCUUCAGGAUUGUGAGGGUGAGGAUGUCAUUUUAUAGAAUAAGGGCUUAUCCCCCUUUUACAUAUUUGCCGAUCCAUUUAUUACAUAAUUACAUUUGAGUCCCUCGAGUAUUUAUACGAGGUCUAAAUACGGAAGCCCUAAGUAUGGUACAAACAGUAGUCCUCCAAGUCUUCAGUUAAGAGAGUCUUUUGGCUAGAAACUUGAAAUUCAGUCCAUGUGUGAGCCGAAGUAACUAGAUGUCGUUUAGGACUGAUACUCGAUAUGAGGCGGUGCUCAAUUUGAAAUGAUUCUCAACUAGAAGUAGCACAUGUUGCGAGACUGCUCGGUUUGUGGCUUAUGUUGCCUUGGUUGGCUUGGCUUGUGGCAUUGAAGGUGAGAGAGUUUCCUUUUAUAGAAUAAGGGCUCCUCACUUCAAUACAUAAGUGAUGGGUUAGGAGUGAUGCUCGUGGCGAAGCGGUUGUGACACGCCCCGACCCUGAUAUUUCCCGAAUACCAGGACCGACACGUGCUAGCCGACACCCGGGGGUGACGAAAGCCAUUAAUUGAUACAAAAGCUAAGAAUAAGAAAUAAAUAAAGGUUAGAAAUUUGAAAUACAAUGAACUAACAAUUUAGGAACGUGUUCAGAGCAUACAACUAAACCUAGUCACUAACAAGAAUUAAGAUAAGAUUGAAUGAACAAAGGAGUGGGUCCUACCCCGAGAGGACUCGAAGAUGCUGCUGCGGAAGUGCCUUGACGCUGGGAUUAGGUGCCUUGAUUCUAAGUCCUGAAUGGGGGCGCAAAACAAAGGUCAGUGGACCAAGUUUAUAUAUAAUAUAAUAAUAAAACAGUUGUCAAGAUACUAACCCCCACAGUUAUAUAAUGAAAACUACUAGCAUAAUAAAUGAUGGAUUUAAUAAAAAUCCUAGCAUGCCAAAAAUAUCUCAAAAGCCAUUUCUCGCGGAAAAACAUCGCGGAAAUCAAAAUAUCAAACGUCUCAUAAAUCGUCUCGUAAACGCGGUGUGCUGCUAGUAAGAUCACCGAAUAAAUAUAACUCCCGGCCCAAUGCCUGCACCUAAGUCUCUGCGCCCGUAGCCAGAGAUAAUUACCACCCGGCCCAAUGCCUCUUCAUGUCCCUCAGCCCGUAGCUAGGGAUUAUUUCUCCCGGCCUAAAUGCCAACACCAGAUCCUCGCCCCAGGCGGCAUAGUGUCCACUAGGUACGCACAAAAUGUUACGCCUCUCGUAAAUACCACUUCAUAGCGUAGGUUACCGAUCAUCGUCUACACCAUAAAGAGGGGUUCAAAAUCAUGUUCUAGCAUCCUAUCGUCAUUUAUCAGAUAGUCUACCAGUUCAUGGUUUUAAUAGAAAAUACGAUAUAUUAAAAUAUAGCUCAAUAUAGGCUAAUAAAUAAUUCCUCACCAAAAACGAGACGAUAAUCAAUAUAUUAAAUCAUCAGGCUUCACAUAAAUCAAAUCAUAAAUUCGUAGGCAUGCUAAUCAUUUAUGCAAUUAAAUUAUCAAAUCAUGUAAUUUUAGAAGGGGUCAACUCACAGUACUUAGUUGCCAAAAGCUGCGCCACCAGUGAAGACGGAAACAUCACAAUAAUUGUCCCUAAGCACAUUAAAGAGUCCAAUAAAUAAAACUAUAUAAUAGAAAUUGAAUUUGGGAAAACGGACAUUGGAAAUGGAUUCAGAGCGUUGAAUUACCCUAAGAAGGGUCCCGGACGAAAACCCGAAAAGUCAACCUUAAAGUCAACGUUGACUGGAGGUCAACGGUCAAACUAGGUCAAACGAGUUUUAGGCUUGAAUCCGGAUUUAGGGUUUAGGUUAAAUAAAAUAGGGGAUUUGGGAUUGGAUGGGUUUAGGGUUUUAAAGGAUUUUAGGAACCUAGGGUUUUUGGGUUAAAAGGGUAUUAGGGUGAGAAUGGGUGGUUUGGGCUCAAGCCCAAACCCAUACAACUAACACACACACACCUAAUACACACACACACAAAGCCCGGCCCUAAGGCCUCACAAAAGAAAACAGGGCUUUAAGCCCCUUCAUUUAAAUCCGGCCCAAGGCCCUUAGGUUUUAAAAACACAUAACUAAAAAUAAAAAGGAUGUGGGCUGGGGUACUGGGUUGGUCCAAAACGGGCUAAGGCCCGUUGGGUUUUCUAAAGGGCCUGAGAGGCCUGGUUUUGCCGAAGAAGAAGGCCGGAGAUUCGGUCGGAAAACCACCCAACUUUAAACGGCCAUAACUUUAUCACUACUCAAUGAAAUCAAGCGAGACAAAAAUAAAAGUUGUAGCCCUGGAAGAGACGAAGAGAAUGAUACCUCACACGACAUCAAACUCGCCGUGGUGUAGCCGGAAAAUGCCUCGAAAUCCGUCGGACUCGCCGGAAACUGGGUAAGAUUCAAAUGAGUAUAACUUCUUUAAUACUCAACGAAAUUGAGUGAAACAAAAAGGAAAGUUGUAGUACUCAGGGAGACGAAGAGAUUGAUACCUUGCACGCCGGCCAACUCGCCGUGGUUUGGCCGGAAAUGGCCUCGAAAGGGGUUGUUCUCGCCGGAGCUCGUGUACGGGGCUUCAUGGUUUGACUUUCAAGAUGCCAAUACUAUGGUUGAGUUCGUAGCGACGAGAUAAAGACGAUGGUGAUGUUUGUUGGUAAGAAAACCCUCGGAUGGGUUGAGAUAGAGAGGGCCGAGAGAGUGAGGGAGAGUUGCGGGAGAGGUGAUGAAAAAGAGAGAACUGAGAGAAGAGAGACCGGAAAACAAAAAAAUAAAACAAGGUGGGCCCCACGGGCUCACCAAUUAAGGUUUUAAAACAAUUUUAAAAUAUAAAAGAGGUUGGGGUGUUUCAGGUUGCUUAGCUGGCGGCGAUACUCUCUAAUGAAAGUGAAGGAAUCCCUUUUAUAAAAUAAAGGCUUGUUCCUCAGUACAUGAAUAAUGGGUUAGAGUUGAUGCUCUCUAAUGAUGGUAAUGGAGUGAUGCUCAAGGCGAAGCGGUUACUCAGCAGGCGGCGAUGCUCUCUAAUGAUGGUGAGGGAGUCCCUUUUAUAGAAUAAGGGCUCGUUCCUCAAUACAUAGGUAAUGGGUGCUUUCUAAUGAAAGUGAGGAAGUCCCUUUUAUAUAAUAAGGGCUCGCUCCUCAAUACAUAAAUAAUGAGCUAAGUCCCUCAAGUAUUUUUCAUGAGGCCCAGUUGAGGCCCAAUAUAUGGUACAUAAUGUAGUCCCCCAAGUCUUCAGUCAAUAGAGUCUGUUGGCUGGAGACUUCAAAUUGAAUCCAUGUAUGGGCCGAAAUGGUGGUUGUUCGGAGGCGGUAUUUGUAUACCUUGUACUGAAGCUUUGCAAGUGAAGGUUUGAAGCUAGAGAUUUUGUAAAAUAAGCUUUUGAAGUUGGAACUCUCAAAGCUGGAACUCUGUAAAUGAAGCUUUUGAAGCUGAUUGACAUGAGUGAUGCUCAUGAAUGUUUAUGUUGAUUGACAUAAGUGAUGCUCAUGGAUGUUGGCAUGAGUGAUGCUUAUGAAUGUUGACAUGAGUGAUGCUCAUGAAUGUUGACAUGAAUGAUGCUCAUGAAUGUUUAUGUAUGAUUGACAUGAGUAAUGCUCAUAAAGGUUUAUGUAUGAUUGACAUGAGUGAUGCUCAUGUAUAAUUUUGAAGUACUGGACGUACUUUUGAUCACCUAGUGGGUGAUAAUAGUGGCAGGCUGCCGAAGAAUUUUUGGAGUACUGGACGUACUUUUAAUCACCUGGUUGGUGAUAAUAGCGGUAGUGUGCCGAAUAAUUUUGGAGUACUGGGUGUACUUUUGAUCACAUGGUUGGUGAUAAUAGCGGCAUGGUGCCGAAUAAUUUUGGAGAACUUGGCGUACUUUUGAUCACCUGGUUGAUGAUAAAGCGGCAGGCUGCCGAAUAAAUUUGAAGCCGUAGGGCCUGGCUCUUUUGGGCAUAGGGGCCUUUGCCCUCCACAUAACAUUCCAACCCAUUAUUUUGGGCUUGCCUUUUUUUUUAACUCUCUGAUGGGGUUUAUACAGAUGUCUCCGAAAGAUAAGAAAAAUAAAUCACAUCAUUCAAAAAUAAAUCCGACCCUCAGUUCAAUGGGUCAUGCCCAUAAUUCCCUUUUCUGCAUGUCAUCACCACUACACUUAUGUCUUUUUUUUUUAAUCUUCUUUUGCUUUCUGCUUUUACUUUCUGCUUUUCUUUCUGCUUUUCUUGAUCUCUCCGCUCCUUCUCUGUCCACCCAUGUUGCUUUGUAAGGUAUCUUUUGCUUGCAAACCACUUGCUUUUCUUGGACAGCCUGGUCGUGCCCAUCCAUUCUCACUCAUUCUUUUUCUUUUUCUUUUGCUUUUUUCCUUUUGCUUUCGUUUUUAUUUACCACUCCAUUUCCAGGCAUAAUGGGUCCAUUUUUCAAAGCAUGCUCCUUUGCAGAUUUGCAUGCUUGCUUUAUAGCAAACACACCCAUAGCUAACUUUUCCAUAUGGGUGGUCGAUAAAAGCCAUCCAUGUGGGUGGUUGAUUAAACUCUUCAGACUCACCAGAUUAAAUUAAUGACAGCUGAUAACAUUACAACAAACACAGCUGGCAGUAUACAACAUAUUAUGAAAGGAAAUGAGAUCACAUUCAUGCCAGAAGGAUGUUGAUGAGGUCACCCGCCAUGUAAGAUCGAGCAUAUUCCUCAACAUGUCAAUAUCAAGGGAUUUCUAUCUUUAUGCACAUGAUAUCGUCUGUAUAAUUUCUCCAAAGUUGCAACAGAAUGCUGCAUUGCAUUUAGUUUCGUAUCCAUGAACAUUCUCUGAUAGUCAUCGCCAUACUCCUCAAUGAGUCGACCAAGAUGAAGACGCUGCAUGGCCGUUUAUGGUUGUAGUGGUGCAGAUUUUUUGUUUCUUCCCUAGACUAGUUUUCAAAUCGUCCUUUUUGAGAUCGCUGUCGUCGGCGAAAUCGAGCUUUGCAUCAGGGUCAUCGGAGGGCGGAGGGGGGACCUGGAGGGAAUCGCUCUCGACCAUUUGAGAAUUGCGAGACCGGAGGCUGAGCAAGUUAGGGUUGGAAACGAAGCCGAAGGACUUGUAGUUUUAGAUGGCGGAGCCUUCGGUGUCCCAUUAAGGGGCUAAGGCCAGCCCUUGCUGCUCCAGCAAGGCGCGGAGCUUCGGAAGGAGGCAGAAGGCGGGCUUGAAUACGUUGAGCUUCCUCUUCGGCAGCCCCACGAGCACCUUCGUCCGCGACUGCUUGUACUUUUUUCUUGACCUUCCCAUCUCUCUCUCUCUCUAGAGUAAAGAGAAAGUGGCGAAUGUCUGUGAAGAAACAAGAGUCAUAGAUGGUGUCGAAUUUGGAGCCAUUAUUGUUGUCUCUCUCUUCUCAUCUUCUUUCUUCUUUCUUGCUGUCUGAAGAGAAAACUGGAAUUUCUAGAAAGAGAAAGAUAGAAAUAGGAGAGCGAAAGAAAGUGUUUGGUGAGGAGGCUGUCUGCAGAGAGAGAGAAAGAAAGAGAAUGAACCAUUGGGUUUUCUCGGAAAGCUUUGGGUUUUUGGGUUUUUGCAGAUUCACGGCGGAGGUGAAAAAAGGAAAGAGAACCGACACAACUUUUCAUAUCGAUUCCCACAGACGGCGCCAAAUGUUAAUGCACAAAACCGGAGGUCUUAGAACAACGUAAAUCCGACCAUGAAUCUACAAGAAAGUAAACAACACAAGAUGUAUCGUGGUUCACCCCAAUGUUUGGGCUACAUCCACAUUGAUAUUGUAUUUCUCUAUUUGUGAGAGGAUUAUGAGGGAGAGAGAGCUUGAGAGCUUUGCUCUAAAUAUGAGAGGCUUCAAGGUUGUGAGGGUGAAGAGGUCAUUUUAUAGAAUAAGGGCUCCUCCCCUUUUACAUAUAUGCCCCUUCAUUUAUUACAUAAUUACAUUUGAGUCCUCCGAGUAUUUAUACAAGGUCUAAAUACGGAGGCCUUAAGUAUGGUACAAACACAUUUGAAACAAGGGCUACUCGUGAUUGAUUUCCAUUGAUAACAACACCCUCACUGUGUUCAUUUUGGCAACCGGGGUAAAAGUCUCCUUGUAAUCAAUACCGUAGGUUUAUGUGAAAUCACGGGCUACCAAUCGAGCCCUGUGUCUCUCAAUGGUACCGUUGGAAUUGAAUUUUAUCUUGUAUAUCCAUCUACUCCCGACAACCUUCUUGCCUUUGGGAAGAUCAACCAUAUUCCAAGUUUGAUUUUCAUCCAAUGCUUUGAGCUCUUCAUGCAUGGCUUUUUGCCACACAGGUGUACACACGGCUUCUUGAAAACUUCUUGGCUCAAGAUUGUUUGACAAUUGGUUUAGAAAUAAUGCACGGGAGGUUGACAAUUUUUGGUAAGUAAUAGCUUCAGAGAUAGGGUACCUUGCAGAGUACGUAACGUACUCUUGUAACCUUAACGGGGGAUGUCGAUCUCUAGCAGGGUUUCUUCUUGGUGCUACUACUGAUUAUGGAGUUGCAGCUUGUGGUUGUGGUGCUAGAGCACUGGGUACUUCCUCAUUGACCACUUCAUCAAUGUUGGAAUUAAUGAUCGGGAUUGGGAGGUUUGCAUGAAUUUCUCUAGGUAGGCAGUGGAAAGGUGUCUAUUAGACUCUCCCCCUGAGGAUUAUUCUCAGAAUCCUUGUGAAAGAAAGAAGUGACUUCAUCAAACCGAAUAUCUCUAGAGACAACAAGCUUCCCAGUAUGUGAGUUAUAACAUUUGUAUCCCUUUUGAGAACUAGAGUACCUCAUAAAUGCACAUUUCACAGCUCUAGGUUCUAGUUUAUUACGAUGAGUAGCUUGGAUGUGGACAUAACAAGUACAUCCAAAGAUCCUGAGAUGAGUCAAAUCGAUAGUUCUUCCUUUCAUGACUUCAAAAGGUGACUUAGCAUUCAACACACGAGUUGGAAAUCUGUUAAUGAUGUAGGUUGCAGUGAGAAGUGCUUGGGACCAGAAUCUUUUAGGAACUUGCAUCUGAAACAUAAGGGACCUUGUUUUCUCUAACAAAUCCCUAUUCUUUUGCUCGGCUACACCGUUUUGUUGUGGUGUACCAAUACAACUAGUUUGAUGCAAGAUGCCAUGAUUGCUUAAGUAAUUGGACAUGUUAUUGGAUGUAUACUCGGUGCCAUUAUCUGACCUUAAAGUAUAUAAUUUAGAGGCAAAUUGAUUGGUUAUUAGUUUGUGAAAGUCUUUGAAAGCUUCAAAAAAUCACCUUUAAACUUUAAAAGAUACAACCAGGUAACCCUAGAAUAAUCAUCAAUAAAAGUGACAUAAUACUUGUAUCCAUCGAAUCACUCAACACGAGAAGGUCCCCAAAUAUCUUAGUGGACAACUUCAAAAAGCUUACUGGUUUUAGACUGAGAGGAUACAAAAUACAGCCUAGUGUAUUUUGACAUUUGACAGAUCUCGCACUCAUGUGUGCUUUUACAAAAAUUUGGAAAUAACUUAGACAUCACUUGUUCUGAGGGAUGAGUGAGACGUUGGUGCCAAAGUUGGUACUCCUGGGCAUGACUUAGGUUGGCAAUGAGAUCCUUAACAAGAUUGAACUUCUUUAAGAGGUAGUAUAGACUACUUAAGAAGAACCCUUCACCAAUCUUCUUCUGAGUGACUCGAUCCUGAAACACAACGUUAUGAGGACAAAAUAUGGCAAGGCAGUCCAAAGUGUGUGUGAUUUUUCCUACGGAAAAAAGCUGGAAUGGAAAUGAAGAUACGUAAAGUGCAGUGGACUCUACAUCAUUACCCAUCAACCUAAUUUUUCCUUUUCCUAGAACAGGUUCCCUUUUACCAUUUGCUACAGAUACAUGAGUACGAUUAGAUAAUUUUUGAAACUCAUGUAGACAAGAUGUUUUAUUAGUUCUAUGAUCAGUGACACCUGAGUCUACAAUCCAAAAAUCAUAUGUGAGAUAUGCAUUGAGAGUAAUGGAGAGUGCACUGAUAAUACCUGGGAUAUUGUCGUGUGUUGUGGUAUCUGAACCUUCCAAGAAGUUAUCGAAUUUUCCAAGCAUGGCAGUGGAGUUUUCAGUGAUCAUCUUUUCAUUCUCAGUGGUCCUGUUCUUUCUUUGGAGAAAGGUAGCAAAUUCAUUAAUCAAGGAAAUCAGAUUUGAAGUGAAGUUUGCCAUCUCAUCAGCUGAACAUUUAGUUGCACGGAGGGCCUUUGAAGCAAACCCUUUCCCAUCUUUGAUCAUUUUCCCUUCCUUGUCAUACUUAGGUUUUAACUCAGGACGUAAGAUCCAACAUUUUUCCCAUAGAUGCCCCUUAGUGUUGCAAUAUAUGCACUUCCAGUCAGCCUUCUUCCCAUUAAAAACUCUUUCACCAGAGAUUUUGUGGUUGCUAGUGAAAACCCUAGCCUUAGAGCUAGACUUGGGCUCAAUAUGCAUUACCUUUCUUCGAGUUUCUUCCCUUUGAACUGCAUGACACACGCUGAUGAAUAAUGGUAAUUCUGGAGUCAUCAGCAAAUGACUACGAAGAUCUUCAUACUUAGCUCCCAAGCUUGCCAACGGUUGAAACACUUUAUCUUCAUCAGCCCUCUUCAAGAGCACAACGGAUUCGAUUUUGUGUGGACGUUAUAAAUCAAGCUUAUUCCAUAUAAAUUUCAUGUUUCCAAUGUGCUGAAUGAAGGAUUGGUCACCUUGCUUUAGGCCAGCAAGACUCUUCUUCAGUUCAAAUACACAGGUAUCAUUAUUUUGGCUGCCAUACAUUUCCUUGACAACUUCCCAGAGUAGGUGUGAAAAUCCUGAAUAGCUGAAUAGCUCUGACAACUUGGGCUCUAUCGAGUUGAGAAUCCAAGACAUUAUGAGCUGAUCAUUUGAAUGCCAUGCAUAAAAAGAGAGUGAGGUGGAUUCUGGAGGCUUGAUGGUUCCAUUUACGUACUCUAGCUUCGAUCUUCCUCCUAGGGCAAGAAAGACGGCUCAUGACCAAGGCAAAUAGUUGAACUUGUUCAACAAUACUGAGCACAGUCGUUGGUUUGGAUUGAUAUCACCGUGUAUCAUGUUGGUUGGUGUUGAGGUUGAGGAACUUGUAUCCUUAGAACUGAAUGGAUUGUCUUCUGCCAUCUCAACAAAUGAUGAACAGAAGGAAAAAUGAAACAAAAGAAAAACAACAGAGACAUGACCCUAUGGUUCUUGCUCUGAUACCAUAUUGAACUUUUUAGUUUCAACUAUUUGUAUAAUUCAUCAUAAGAAACCAAAUACAAGGGAGAAGCUCUUACAGAGAGCUUGAGAGUGACUUAAAGGCUAAAAAGGCAAAGCCUAAUAAUAGGCCAUAUAAAGAACAAAAAAGAAUAAGCUAGCUAACGUGCAGCAAAUGUAUAAUUACAAGUUUCAAGGGAUACAUAAGACCAUAAAUUAAGGAGCAAAUUAGAGCAACUCCAGCGUAGGAGCCCUCCCCCCAGGCAAUUCACUAUUCAAUCCACCCAGUGAACAGUAACUACCCUUAAUGAACAGUAACUGCCUUUUGCAUUUCUAGCGUGGGAGCCCUCUCCUUGGCAAUAGGUAAUAAAAUAUUUGUAUUUUAUUUAUUUAUAAAAUAAUACAAAAUAAUUUUAUUUGUAAUUUCGGAUAGGAUUUUUAAUCGAUCUUGUUGUACCAUUUUCUAUUAAAAAAUUAUUUUUAUUUUUUAUUUUCACAUGUAGCUAGGGGUGGGUUCAAAUAACCGAAAACCGAAAAAAACCGAAAACCAAACCGAACCGAGGCCGAAAAAAACCGAACCGAAACUGCCAAACCGAACCGAACCGAAUCUGGCUGGUUCGGUUUCGGUUUUUAAGGUUCGGAAACCGAACCAAAACGAACCGAACCGAACAGAUAUAUAUAUUUAAUUUUGUUUUCAAUAUUAUAAAUAAUUUAGUGAUACAAUCAUAACAAGACAUAACCUGUUACCAAGUUGGUUUGCUUGAAACUUUUCAAGCCCCUGUGCAUGGGUUCGAAUCCUCAUGCUUCCAGGGUUUCAGAAAAGUUUUUUAGUUUUUUUGAGCAAUCAACAACCUUUUAACUUAAAAUUAAAUAUAAAUACUUAAAACCUGCUGCUGUGAGGAAUCGAACCCCUUCCGUCCAGGGGGGAUAAUUCCUUCAAGCCAACUUGACUGUAGGCUUUGUGUUGUUAUAAUUGUACCAGUAAUAUAUUUAUAGGUUUCUAAUAUUUAAAUGCUUUAUAAAAAUUUCUUAAGAUUAAAAAACCCCUAGCCGUCACUCUCCCAAUCCCAUUUCGGUUUUCCCUUUUCUCAAGCACUCUCUCCCCUCCGCUAUUUCCUCUCUGCCUCUCUCUCUCUCUCUUUCUCUCCCCUUCCUCUCUUCCUCCAAAUCACUAUCUCUCUUUGUGGAUUUCGACGGUAGCAAAGAGGAGAGCCAAACCACAGUGGCAGUGGAGCAGUCCAGUGGCACAACAUGGGACUGAUGGGCAGUUGACGGCGGACGAGGGCAGUCAUUAAUCGUUGCAGAUCCAUGAUCCAUGGUUCUUUGUUUUUGUGUUGUGUUGUUGGUUAAUUUUCGUUUGCAGAUUUUUUUUUUCAAUUUCGUUGGUUCUGAACUUCUGAUGAAUUUGAUCUGUAGCUUCUAAAUUUCAUGGUUUUGCAAUUUGUUUUGGGUAUGCUGGAUUUGGUUAGGUAACUUCAUUUAUGAACACUAUUAGACUAUUAGUUGAGGUUUGAUUAAUUUGUGAGAGUACAUACGGUUUGAUUAAUUUGUUUUGGGUAUGCUGCUGCUGAAGCCUGGAUUUGUUGUGGCUGUUUUGCAUUUUUUGGAGGAAAAAAAAAAAUACCGAAAAAAAACCGAAACCGAACCGAAAAAAACCGAAAAAAAUUUGGGCCGAACCGAACCGAACCGAAAUUUCGGUUUGGUUUCGGUUUUGGCAAAAAACCGAACCGAUAAGAACCGAACCCAGCCCUAAUGGAACUGAUGCCCGUUCUUUAUUAAUCAACAGAGUGUUGUUGAUAUGUCAUCGAUAAUGUGUUAAUAUCUAUUGGAAAUGAUGUACUUAACGUGAUGGAAGUGAUGUACCGACACUUUUCCUUUGUUCCUUAAGAGCAACUCCAGCGUGGGCUGGUGCUCGAGGGGAAGGCCCGUGAACAGUGCCACAGAGCUCGGGGAGAGUGCUCCAGCGUGUGGAAGCCCGAUGGACAGGCCAAACCCGAGCAACAGGCCUGGCACGAAUUGCCAGCCCGAGAGCCCAAAGGCAACGUGACGUGGGUUGACGUCAGCCAUAAUAUAAAAUUAAUAAAAAUAUAAAAUAUUAAUAAAAUUAAAAAGUAAAAUUAAAAAAAAAUUAAAAAAAUUGUAAAACCCAGGCUUCGAACUCAACGGCUCUCGCCGGAGUUCAUCGCCGAGGUUGAUGAACACCCACAGACAAAUGGCAGAGAUCCAGUCCAUCCUCCGCUGCAACUGGCGUGCCCAAAUUGGACGAUUUGGGAUUUGUUUUUGGGGGAAAGAGGAGAGAGAGAGAGUUUGGUUAGGGAGCGGGAAAGAUCGGGACCGUUGAUGGAGGCUGAGGUGGGUGUGAUGGUGACGAUGGAGGAAGAGAGGCAGCGGUGGGGUGGUGAAGAUAGAGGAAGAGAGGCGAGGAGGGUUUGGGUGCGUUGUGGGGGGGGGGGGGGAGCGGGCGACACAGGUUGAAAAUUUGGGUGUGGGUUGAAAAUGGUGUGAAAAGAAGAAAAAAAAUGUUGAUGAGUGACGAUGCGUUGGCACCAUCAUGUGAAAAGAAGAAAAAUAAUAAUAAAAAAAAAAAGUUUUGGACUAGUGCUACAUGUAGGGCUGGGUUCGGUUCUUAUCGGUUCGGUUUUUUGCCAAAACCGAAACCAAACCGAAAUUUCGGUUCGGCCCAAAUUUUUUUCGGUUUUUUUCGGUUCGGUUUCGGUUUUUUUUCGGUUAUUUUUUUUUUUCCUCCAAAAAAUGCAAAACAGCCACAACAAAUCCAGGCUUCAGCAGCAGCAUACCCAAAACAAAUUAAUCAAACCGUAUGUACUCUCACAAAUUAAUCAAACCUCAACUAAUAGUCUAAUAGUGUUCAUAAAUGAAGUUACCUAACCAAAUCCAGCAUACCCAAAACAAAUUGCAAAACCAUGAAAUUUAGAAGCUACAGAUCAAAUUCAUCAGAAGUUCAGAACCAACGAAAUUGAAAAAAAAAAUCUGCAAACGAAAAUUAACCAACAACACAACACAAAAACAAAAAGAACCAUGGAUCAUGGAUCUGCAACGAUUAAUGACUGCCCUCGUCCGCCGUCAACUGCCCAUCAGUCCCAUGUUGUGCCACUGGACUGCUCCACUGCCACUGUGGUUUGGCUCUCCUCUUUGCUACCGUCGAAAUCCACAAAGAGAGAUACAGAGUGAUAGUGAUUGGAGGAAGAGAGGAAGGGGAGAGAAAGAGAGAGAGAGAGAGGCAGAGAGGAAAUAGCGGAGGGGGAGAGAGUGCUUGAGAAAAGGGAAAACCGAAAUGGGAUUGGGAGAGUGACGGCUAGGGUUUUUAAUCUUAAGAAAUUUUAUAAAGCAUUAAAUAUUAGAAACCUAUAAAUAUAUUACUGGUACAAUUAUAACAACACAAAGCCUACAGUCAAGUUGGCUUGAAGGAAUUAUCCCCCUGGACGGAAGGGGUUCGAUUCCUCACAGCAGCAGGUUUUAAGUAUUUAUAUUUAAUUUUAAGUUAAAAGGUUGUUGAUUGCUCAAAAAAACUAAAAAACUUUUCUGAAACCCUGGAAGCAUGAGGAUUCGAACCCAUGCACAGGGGCUUGAAAAGUUUCAAGCAAACCAACUUGGUAACAGGUUAUGUCUUGUUAUGAUUGUAUCACUAAAUUAUUUAUAAUAUUGAAAACAAAAUUAAAUAUAUAUAUCUGUUCGGUUCGGUUCGGUUUGGUUCGGUUUCCGAACCUUAAAAACCGAAACCGAACCAGCCAGAUUCGGUUCGGUUCGGUUUGGCAGUUUCGGUUCGGUUUUUUUUCGGUUCGGUUUUUUUCGGCCUCGGUUCGGUUUGGUUUUCGGUUUUUUUCGGUUUUCGGUUAUUUGAACCCACCCCUAAGUUCCAUAGCCAGACAAAUAAUUCUUCAUAUAUAAUUGAUAGAUUGCAUUGUAAUACAUAGGAUGGGACCAAAAUAAUUCCUAGAAUUAAUUUAUAAAAAUUCAACAAUGGUAAAUAAAAUAUGAAAAACAUGCAGCUUCAUCAAGAAGAAACAAGAACAUGCAUGCAUAGAACUGCAGUUUUUUUCCUAACCUGGAUCUUCUCUCUCAACCUAGAGAGAGAGACACACACAGAAACUCCGACUCCAACUCCGACUCCGAGAGAUCUAGACAGAGGGUUAGGUAAUAGGUUAUGCUCUAGGGGAAGCAGGGAAUGAGAAUUUAUAAGGGAAGGGCGCGUCGCCGAGCAAUCGGAAUAUUACAGUGGUAUGCUCUUCCCCUCCAUUUUAGCUAGCUGUUGUUUCUCUGCAGACCCUUCUGUUCAACAAACUCAAGACAUCUUUCAGCGGUAUAUUCCGAAUGUCUGAGAAUUUCUAGUAGAAACCAGUAGUAGCCAAAACCGAAAACAGUUCCAUAUACAUUACCAGAACGCGUAUUUCCACAGUUGUCCAAUUUCUAUAUUUAGUUUUCAAAUUUGAGGUUCAAAUUUUACGUAAUAUAUACUUUGGUGAAGGAAUUAAAUUCCAUAUAAUCUGAGGGGAUGGAAUAUAUGUCCUAAUUGCUAUGCUAGCUAGCUGGAGGAUCGUAAAAGAUUUCAUUACAAGAUUCAUUUCUGAUUUGGGGGGAGAUUUUCAGGUAAAAGUAAUCAAUAAUUUCUCAAUGAUUUGGAGACCAAAAGCAAAGAAAUUAUAGAAUGAUGGUAGAAAUAAAUGGAUUAAUGGAAUAGUGUGCCGAGUGUAAGAAUGUACGAACACCCUCUGUAUUAAAUUGGAAAGUAAAAAAGUUCUAUAAGUUCGAAUCCUCAAUCACAUUGAGAAGAAAAAAAUACAUGAAACACGUUUUGUUUGACUUCUUUUGAGCAUUACAAAUAUAAGAUUUCUAUUAAAAACAAGGAAUAUAAUAUUAAAUUUUCUCUUCGUAUUGUCAAGAUUUCCUUAGAAAAAAUAAAGAAAAAUAAUAUCAACGAAAUCUGAGUGGUUGGAGUUCUUGAGUGUGAAUGAUUGUGCUUUAUCUCUAUUAUUACGUGACUACAACUACGAUCUGAUAUAAGACAUACUCUGAACAGUGAGUAUGGACUAGCCACGCUGCCUUAAGAGAAAAUGUGCAAAACAACCUAAACCCCCAAAAUAAAUUCAACUUUCACAUUGAGAAACAGAAAACGGUUGAUGAUUCUCUUCUACUUUAUAUACUCAAUACCAUUUAGUCACAGCUGCGGAGAGAAACAUGGGUACCCUAGUUUUGAUCAUACACGCGAACCGCAGAUGACAAUUUCAAACACAAAACAUUAGGUUCAAAGAUAAACGCUGACGCUUUACGUACACACAUGUUAUACCACAAAGGAUGAAAUACCCCUCCCCAAAAUGAACUACAGGCUUACAUUACAACAUUAUUUUCUGCACUGCUUAUAGAUCCAACCUACACAACUGGAACUGUCCUGUUGUUAUAGCUUGAUUGCUCCAACUCCACUGUCCCGGUUUCGCUUUCUUCUUCGUUCUCACCCGACAUCUCCUCCAACGACCUCCCAUUCGAUUCAGGCACCAAGAAGGUGAACAAUAUCCCCAAGAAGUUGACCACACCCAACACAAGGAGCGAGUUUUUAACCCCGAUGCCUGGAGGGUACCCUGCAUCUGUCUUGUUCUUAUCUUUGUUCUGAGCCAAGUACAAGAACCCGAAUGCACCAACUAUGGCGCCAAGCUUCCCGGACGCAGCUGAGAUUCCAUGACACGUAGACCGGAACCUAGCUGGGAAAAUCUCAGCCGGCACAACAAAUGUGGUUG